GGGGAUGUAGCUCAGUUGGUAGAGUGCUUGCCUUAUGAUCACAAGGCCCUGGAUUCAAUCCCCAGCACCAUUA
rnacentral:tRNA from 1 species